UCGAGCGAACAGAUAAGGAGCUUGCUCCUUUGACGUUAGCGGCGGACGGGUGAGUAACACGUGGAUAACCUACCUAUAAGACUGGGAUAACUUCGGGAAACCGGAGCUAAUACCGGAUAACAUAUUGAACCGCAUGGUUCAAUAGUGAAAGGCGGCUUUGCUGUCACUUAUAGAUGGAUCCGCGCCGUAUUAGCUAGUUGGUAAGGUAACGGCUUACCAAGGCAACGAUACGUAGCCGACCUGAGAGGGUGAUCGGCCACACUGGAACUGAGACACGGUCCAGACUCCUACGGGAGGCAGCAGUAGGGAAUCUUCCGCAAUGGGCGAAAGCCUGACGGAGCAACGCCGCGUGAGUGAUGAAGGUCUUCGGAUCGUAAAACUCUGUUAUCAGGGAAGAACAAAUGUGUAAGUAACUGUGCACAUCUUGACGGUACCUGAUCAGAAAGCCACGGCUAACUACGUGCCAGCAGCCGCGGUAAUACGUAGGUGGCAAGCGUUAUCCGGAAUUAUUGGGCGUAAAGCGCGCGUAGGCGGUUUUUUAAGUCUGAUGUGAAAGCCCACGGCUCAACCGUGGAGGGUCAUUGGAAACUGGAAAACUUGAGUGCAGAAGAGGAAAGUGGAAUUCCAUGUGUAGCGGUGAAAUGCGCAGAGAUAUGGAGGAACACCAGUGGCGAAGGCGACUUUCUGGUCUGUAACUGACGCUGAUGUGCGAAAGCGUGGGGAUCAAACAGGAUUAGAUACCCUGGUAGUCCACGCCGUAAACGAUGAGUGCUAAGUGUUAGGGGGUUUCCGCCCCUUAGUGCUGCAGCUAACGCAUUAAGCACUCCGCCUGGGGAGUACGACCGCAAGGUUGAAACUCAAAGGAAUUGACGGGGACCCGCACAAGCGGUGGAGCAUGUG
rnacentral:rRNA from 1 species